rnacentral:rRNA from 1 species
UCCUGGCUCGAGGACGAACGCUGGCGGUGUGCCUCAUACAUGCAAGUCGAACGAUAAGGCUUCUUCGGAAGUACAUAAGUGGCGGACGGGUGAGGUACAACAUAGGAAAUCUGCCUUAGGGUGGGGGACAACAGAGGGAAACUCCUGCUAAUACCCCAUAUGAGCUAACUUGAAAUAGUUAUCUUGAAAACUCCGGUGCCCUAAGAUGAGCCUGUGCCUGAUUAGCUGGUUGGUGGUGUAAUGGACUACCAAGGCGACGAUCAGUAGCUGGUUUGAGAGGAUGAUCAGCCACAAUGGGACUGAGACACGGCCCAUACUCCUACGGGAGGCAGCAGUAGGGAAUUUUGCGCAAUGGGGGAAACCCUGACGCAGCAACACCGCGUGAAUGUUAAGCCCUUCGGGGUGUAAAGUUCUGUCAGUAGGGAAGAACAAAUGACUGUACCUACAAAGGAAGCACCGGCUAACUCCGUGCCAGCAGCCGC